AUCUACAUCAAAGAAAACAGGUCCUACCCCCGGACGAGAGCCGAUGUCCGAGUCAUCACGUGUCAUCACAACCGUAUCCGCCACAUAAACACGUGCCGAUGCCGUGGUGACGCUGACCGAGGAACGGGCACCAGGAGGCGAGGGAAAAAGCAAAGCCU